rnacentral:rRNA from 1 species
CUUUCUCCGCCGGCGACCGGCGCACGGGUGAGUAACACGUAUGCAACCUGCCCCUGUCAGGGGGACAACCCGCCGAAAGGCGGGCUAAACCCGCGUACAUGCCACCGGGGCAUCCCGGAGGCAGGAAAGGCUUCGGCCGGCAGGGAUGGGCAUGCGGCGCAUUAGGCAGUAGGCGGGGUAACGGCCCACCUAACCGACGAUGCGUAGGGGUUCUGAGAGGAAGGUCCCCCACACUGGUACUGAGACACGGACCAGACUCCUACGGAAGGCAGCAG